ACUAGCUAACUGAAAUCACAAAUCACAAAAUGUGCUUAUUGUGAUAACGUAAGGGAAAAAAAUGAUAUUACCUUACUAUAAGUGUUGUCUAAAUAACUGGUGCCAGAAGACUCGGUAACACCAGAAACGCGAACGUUAGUCGUCUUAAACAGGCGUAAAGGGUAAGUAGGCUGCUUUAAAGUUUAUUUUUAAUAAGCUAAUUAGUAAUAUUCCGAUUGCUCCUGUCUUUUUUUUAAUAGUGACCCUCCCCCCGCGUAGCGGGCUACCCCCCGUGGGGGGGGGGUCAACCACUCAAUAGAAUGGUAAGAAAACAGGCAAACUAAAGCAGGAGCUACUUAAAGUUUUCAGAUUGCUGCUCCCACCCCUCCUAGGAGGGGGGCAGCAAAAAUAUAAAUUAAGGCUAACUUAUAAUGAAAAUAGGGAAUUAUUAGGUUAUCCACUCCGCAUGCGUAGCACCCCUCCUCAAAAGCAAGACUCCUUCGUUUACGCAUUUGGAGGCGACCCCCCACUAGUGGGGGUCGCUAACUAAUAAUAUUAAUUAUUAAAAAUUUAAAAAUAGAUACACUUAAAGCUAGAAUCAUCCAUUGAGAUAAACCAGCAUAAUACUUAUGUGUAAGGGCGAAAUCUGAAAAUACUAAGUAGAAUACUAAGGGUGAAAACUUUUUAUCUAGUAAUGAUUGACGCUGAGGUACGAAAGUGAGAACAGGGAAUAGGAUUAGAUACCCAGUUACCUCUCACCGUCAACGAUGAAUGGUAAGUUGUUAGUUUAAUUAAAUUAGUGACGAUGUUAACGCGAUAACCAUUCCGCCUUGAGAGUACGGUUGCAAAACUGAAACCAAAAAAAUUAGUCGGUCUCGGAGCAAA
rnacentral:rRNA from 1 species